rnacentral:rRNA from 1 species
CAAGCGACUGUUUACCAAAAACAUAGGUUUCUGCUAAGUCGCAAGACGAUGUAUAGGAGCUGACGCCUGCCCGGUGCUGGAAGGUUAAGGGGAUCUGUUAGAGCAAUCGAAGCAGUGAACUUAAGCCCCAGUAAACGGCGGCCGUAACUAUAACGGUCCUAAGGUAGCGAAAUUCCUUGUCGGGUAAGUUCCGACCCGCACGAAAGGCGUAACGAUUUGGGCACUGUCUCAACAACAGACUCGGUGAAAUUGUAAUUCCGGUGAAGAUGCCGGAUACCUGCGACAGGACGGAAAGACCCCAUGGAGCUUUACUGUAGCUUGACAUUGGGUCUUGGUACUACAUGUACAGGAUAGGUGGGAGGCUUUGAAACCAGGACGCCAGUUUUGGCGGAGCCAUCCUUGGGAUACCACCCUUGUAGUACUGGGACUCUAACCAUAGGCCAUGAAUCUGGUCUUGGGACACUGUCAGGUGGGCAGUUUGACUGGGGCGGUCGCCUCCCAAAAGGUAACGGAGGCGCUCAAAGGUUCUCUCAGUACGGUCGGAAAUCGUACGUAGAGUGUAAAGGCAAAAGAGAGCUUGAUUGCAAGACAUACAGGUCGAGCAAGGAUGAAAAUCGGACUUAGUGAUCCGGUGGUUCUGCGUGGAAGGGCCAUCGCUCAACGGAUAAAAGCUACCCUGGGGAUAACAGGCUUAUCUCCCCCAAGAGUCCACAUCGACGGGGAGGUUUGGCACCUCGAUGUCGGCUCAUCACAUCCUGGGGCUGUAGUAGGUCCCAAGGGUUGGGCUGUUCGCCCAUUAAAGUGGUACGCGAGCUGGGUUCAGAACGUCGUGAGACAGUUCGGUCCCUAUCCGUCGCAGGCGUAGGAAAUUUGAGAAGACCUGUCCUUAGUACGAGAGGACCGGGAUGGACGUACCUCUGGUGUACCAGUUGUCCUGCCAAGGGCAUGGCUGGGUAGCUAUGUACGGAAUGGAUAAGCGCUGAAAGCAUCUAAGCGCGAAGCCAACUUCAAGAUAAGAUUUCCCACCGCAAGGGUAAGACCCCAGAAAGACUAUCUGGUUGAUAGGUCGAAGGUGUAAGUGCAGCAAUGUAUUUAGCUUAUCGAUACUAAUAGGUCGAGGACUUGACCAA